rnacentral:rRNA from 1 species
AUAAACGCUGGCGGCGUGCCUAAUGCAUGCAAGUCGAACGGUCGCUUCGGCGGCCGUGGCAAACGGGUGAGUAACGCGUAGGUGACCUACCGUCGAGUGGGGCAUAACCCGGGGAAACUCGGGCUAAUUCCGCAUACGGUCCCGGAUUCGUGUUCGGGAAGAAAGCCGUGAGGUGCUCGAUGAGGGGCCGCGUCCGAUUAGCUGGUUGGUGGGGUAACGGCCUACCAAGGCGAUGAUCGGUAGCCGGUCUGAGAGGACGGCCGGCCACACUGGAACUGUGACACGGUCCAGACUCCUACGGGAGGCAGCAGCAAGGAAUAUUGCGCAAUGGUCGCAAGGCUGACGCAGCGACGCCGCGUGGGGGAUGAAGGCUCUCGGGUCGUAAACCCCUUUUGGGUGGGACGAAGGAUGACGGUACCACCCGAAGAAGCCCCGGCUAACUACGUGCCAGCAGCCGCGGUAAUACGUAGGGGGCGAGCGUUGUCCGGAUUUACUGGGCGUAAAGCGUCCGUAGGCGGCUGGCUGCGUCGGGUGUGAAAGCUCCCCGCUCAACGGGGAGAGGUCAUCCGAUACGGGCUGGCUGGAGGGCAGUAGAGGGGGACGGAAUUCCCGGAGUAGUGGUGAUAUGCGUAGAGACCGGGAGGAACACCGGUGGCGAAGGCGGUCCCCUGGGCUGUCCCUGACGCUGAUGGACGAAAGCGUGGGGAGCGAACCGGAUUAGAUACCCGGGUAGUCCACGCGGUAAACGAUGGGUACUCGGUGUGGGGGGUAUCGACCCCUCCCGCGCCCCAGCUAACGCGAUAAGUACCCCGCCUGGGGAGUACGGCCGCAAGGCUAAAACUCAAAGGAAUUGACGGGGGCCCGCACAAGCAGCGGAGCGUGUGGUUUAAUUCGAUGCAACGCGAAAAACCUUACCAGGGCUAGACAUGCACGGGACAGCGGCGGAAACGUCGUCUUCCUUCGGGACUCGUGCACAGGUGCUGCAUGGCUGUCGUCAGCUCGUGCCGUGAGGUGUUGGGUUAAGUCCCGCAACGAGCGCAACCCCCGUGAGCAGUUACUCUCUCUGCUCAGACUGCCGGGAAAACCCGGGGGAAGGUGGGGAUGACGUCAAGUCAGCACGGCCCUUACGUCCUGGGCGACACACACGCUACAAUGGCCGGGUACAACGGGCUACGAACCCGCAAGGGGAGCCAAUCCCACCAAACCCGGCCUCAGUACAGAUUGUCGGCUGCAACCCGCCGGCAUGAAGACGGAGUUGCUAGUAACCGCAGGUCAGCAUUACUGCGGUGAAUGCGUUCCCGGGCCUUGUACACACCGCCCGUCACGUCAUGAAAGCCGGCAACACCUGAAGUCCGUGGGCUGACCCGCAAGGGGAGCAGCGGCCGAGGGUGGGGCUGGCUGAUUGGGACG